rnacentral:rRNA from 1 species
UUGUUGGUAAGUUUAUUGGAGUACCAAGCCUUACACGGAUAACGAAGGAAUAGGUAUCGAUUCUGUGUAGGGAGCCUGAGUAACGACUUCCCCAUCUAUGGAAGGCAGCUGGCGCGUAAAUUACCCAAUCUAUAUUCAGGGAGGUAGGCACAAGCAUAAACGAACUGAGGCAUACGCUUCAAGAUGGCAAUGAGGGAAAUUUUACCCCCUUAACGAGGAUCAAUUGGAGGGCAAGUCUGGUGCCAGCAGCCGCGGUAAUUCCAGCUCCAAUAGCGUAUAUUAAAGUUGUUGCAGUUAAAAAGCUCGUAGUUGGAUUUCUGGGAGAGUGCCAAUGUCCGCCGCGUGCGUGAAGCAGCGGCGCUCUUCCAUCCUUCUGUUAACCUUUCUGGCAUUCACUUGCUGGUUUGGGGAUCAGAUAUUUUCCCUUGAGAAAAUUAGAGUGUUUCAGGCAGGCUUGCGCCCGAAUACAUUAGCAUGGAAUAAUAGAAUAGGACUUUGGUCUCCUUUGUUGGUUUGAGGGACUAGAGUAAUGAUUAAUAGGGACAGUUGGGGGCACUAGUAUAUAAUUGUCAGAGGUGAAAUUGUCGGAUUAGUUAAAGAACUAACUUCUGCGAAAGCAUCUGCCACGGAUGUUUUCAUUAAUCAAGUCCGAAAGUCAAGGGAUCAAACCACGAGCCGAUCCGAUCCCGU